rnacentral:tRNA from 1 species
CCCUUCAAUCCUUGGGGCAGAGCGUCUGUCUCGUAAACAGAAGGUCUGCGGUUCAAUCCCGCAUGGAGGCA